rnacentral:rRNA from 1 species
GUGGGGAAUUUUGGACAAUGGGCGAAAGCCUGAUCCAGCCAUGCCGCGUGCAGGAUGAAGGCCUUCGGGUUGUAAACUGCUUUUGUACGGAACGAAAAGACUCCUUCUAAUAAAGGGGGUCCAUGACGGUACCGUAAGAAUAAGCACCGGCUAACUACGUGCCAGCAGCCGCGGUAAUACGUAGGGUGCAAGCGUUAAUCGGAAUUACUGGGCGUAAAGCGUGCGCAGGCGGUUAUAUAAGACAGAUGUGAAAUCCCCGGGCUCAACCUGGGAACUGCCAUUGUGACUGCAAGGCUAGAGUGCGGCAGAGGGGGAUGGAAUUCCGCGUGUAGCAGUGAAAUGCGUAGAUAUGCGGAGGAACACCGAUGGCGAAGGCAAUCCCCUGGGCCUGCACUGACGCUCAUGCACGAAAGCGUGGGGAGCAAACAGGAUUAGAUACCCGGGUAGUCC